UACGGAGGAUGCGAGCGUUAUCCGGAUUUAUUGGGUUUAAAGGGUGCGUAGGCGGAGUGCCAAGUCAGCGGUAAAAAUUCGGGGCUCAACCCCGUCGUGCCGUUGAAACUGGCGCCCUUGAGUGGGCGAGAAGUAUGCGGAAUGCGUGGUGUAGCGGUGAAAUGCAUAGAUAUCACGCAGAACCCCGAUUGCGAAGGCAGCAUACCGGCGCCCGACUGACGCUGAAGCACGAAAGCGUGGGGAUCAAACAGG
rnacentral:rRNA from 1 species